rnacentral:pre_miRNA from 1 species
AAUAUAUGACGCCGUUAACUUUUUGUCCAAUGUUUGACCAUUCGUUUUAUUCAAAAAAUUUAUAUAAUUAUUAUUUAUUUUAUUAUGACUUGAUGACGUCAAAUUGUUCUUUAAGCAUGACAUAAAUAUUUUCAUAUUUACACCAAAAAUUUGAAUAAAACGAAUGAUCAAACGUUGGUUGAAAAGUCAACGGCGUCAUAUAUU